GAGCUCGUUCAGAAGCGAUUGGAUCGUAUUAAAGCUCAUAUUGACGAUACGAAGGCGGCAGAACCAAAGUUUU
rnacentral:sRNA from 1 species